UACGUAGGGCGCAAGCGUUGUCCGGAAUUAUUGGGCGUAAAGAGCUCGUAGGCGGCCUGUUGCGUCCGCUGUGAAAUCCCGGGGCUCAACCCCGGGCCUGCAGUGGAUACGGGCUGGCUAGAGGCAGGCAGGGGAGAACGGAAUUCCUGGUGUAGCGGUGAAAUGCGCAGAUAUCAGGAGGAACACCGGUGGCGAAGGCGGGUCUCUGGGCCGAUACUGACGCUGAGGAGCGAAAGCGUGGGGAGCGAACAGG
rnacentral:rRNA from 1 species